rnacentral:pre_miRNA from 1 species
GCGGUUAUGGUGUAUAACGAAAUCCUUAUGCACCCUGCAUAAAUUCAGAAAUGGUUUUGGAGUACAACUUACAAAAACCAUUUUCCCAAUAAAAUGGUUUUUGCAUAAUUUUAUGCAAGGUGCUGGAAAUCCUUAUGCAGAGUACUGGAAAGCAUUAAGUACAACUCACAUAAACCAUUUCUGGAUUUAUGCAGGGUGCAUAAGGAUUUCCUUAUGCACUAUAGUCG